UCCAGACUCCUACGGGAGGCAGCAGUGGGGGAUAUUGCACAAUGGGGGAAACCCUGAUGCAGCGACGCCGCGUGAGUGAAGAAGUAUUUCGGUAUGUAGAGCUCUAUCAGCAGGGAAGAAAAAAGACGGUACCUGACUAAGAAGCCCCGGCUAACUACGUGCCAGCAGCCGCGGUAAUACGUAGGGGGCAAGCGUUAUCCGGAUUUACUGGGUGUAAAGGGAGCGUAGACGGCAAUACAAGUCGGAAGUGAAAUACCCGGGCUCAACCUGGGAACUGCUUUGGAAACUGUAUGGCUGGAGUGCUGGAGAGGUAAGCGGAAUUCCUAGUGUAGCGGUGAAAUGCGUAGAUAUUAGGAGGAACACCAGUGGCGAAGGCGGCUUACUGGACAGUAACUGACGUUGAGGCUCGAAAGCGUGGGGAGCAAACAGGAUUAGAUACCCGAGUAU
rnacentral:rRNA from 1 species